UAGUGGUUAGGAUUCGGCGCUCUC
rnacentral:piRNA from 4 species